rnacentral:rRNA from 1 species
AACGAACGCUGGCGGCAUGCCUAACACAUGCAAGUCGAACGAGACCUUCGGGUCUAGUGGCGCACGGGUGCGUAACGCGUGGGAAUCUGCCCUUGGGUUCGGAAUAACAGUUGGAAACGACUGCUAAUACCGGAUGAUGACGUAAGUCCAAAGAUUUAUCGCCCAAGGAUGAGCCCGCGUAGGAUUAGCUAGUUGGUGAGGUAAAGGCUCACCAAGGCGACGAUCCUUAGCUGGUCUGAGAGGAUGAUCAGCCACACUGGGACUGAGACACGGCCCAGACUCCUACGGGAGGCAGCAGUGGGGAAUAUUGGACAAUGGGCGAAAGCCUGAUCCAGCAAUGCCGCGUGAGUGAUGAAGGCCUUAGGGUUGUAAAGCCCUUUUACCCGGGAUGAUAAUGACAGUACCGGGAGAAUAAGCUCCGGCUAACUCCGUG